rnacentral:rRNA from 1 species
UUAUGUGAUCGUCUCUCGCAUAUCAAUAAGCGGAGGAAAAGAAACUAACAAGGAUUCCCCUAGUAACGGCGAGUGAAGCGGGAAGAGCUCAAAUUUGAAAUCUUAAAGGGUUUCCCUUUACGAAUUGUAGUUUAAAGAAGUGUUUUCUGUUGAGGUUUUGGUAAAAGUUCUUUGGAAUAGGACAUCAUAGAGGGUGAGAAUCCCGUAUUUGACCUUUACUUUCAACUUUGUGAUACACUUUCAAAGAGUCGGAUUGUUUGGGAAUGCAGUCCAAAAUGGGUGGUAAAUUUCAUCUAAAGCUAAAUAUUGGCGAGAGACCGAUAGCGAACAAGUACCGUGAGGGAAAGAUGAAAAGAACUUUGAAAAGAGAGUUAAACAGUACGUGAAAUUGUCAAAAGGGAAGCGUUUGACACCAGUGUUGUUUUUCUGAAGAUCAAUUAAAGAACUGUUUAUGCUAAGUUGUUUAGACUUUAUCAGCUAACUGUUUAGUUUUGAGCUUUUCUUUAAUGCACUUUUCAGUUAACAAGUCAACAUCAAUUUCUUUUGCUGUAAAAAAGCUUGAGGAAGGUGGCUUGAGAUUCGUCUUAAGUGUUUAUAGCCUCUUGCCUAUGCAGUCGGAGAGAUUGAGGUCUGCAGCGUAGAUCCUUCGGGGCUAAAUGCAUUUGUGCUAAGUUAUAGCAUUUUAUAGACAACUUGUUGACUAUGAUUUGUCUUGUAGCUUACUCGCUUAUGUUAUUUUACCUACGCUUAGGAUGUUGAUCUACAGAGCGAGAGU